rnacentral:rRNA from 1 species
AGAGUUUGAUCCUGGCUCAGAGUGAACGCUGGCGGCAGGCCUAACACAUGCAAGUCGAGCGGCAGCGCGGGGGCAACCCUGGCGGCGAGCGGCGGACGGGUGAGGAGCACAUCGGAAUCUACCCUGUCGUGGGGGACAACGUAGGGGAACUUACGCUAAUACCGCAUGAUCUGGAGACAGCAAAGCCGGGGACUCGCAAGAGCCUGGCGCGAUGGGAUGAGCCGAUGUCCGAUUAGCUAGUUGGCGGGGUAAGAGCCCACCAAGGCGACGAUCGGUAGCUGGUCUGAGAGGACGACCAGCCACACUGGAACUGAGACACGGUCCAGACUCCUACGGGAGGCAGCAGUGGGGAAUAUUGGACAAUGGGGGCAACCCUGAUCCAGCCAUGCCGCGUGGGUGAAGAAGGCCUUCGGGUUGUAAA